UAAAAAUAAAAAAACACUCACAAAUCAGCAAUUGUAAGGGACAAUUAAGGGAAGCACAAAACACUGAAGAAAAACAUAAACCCUAGCCCCUAUCUGACAAUAUAAACACGUUGAAUCGGUUCAGUCAACAGUUCUUUAAUUUUCCUGCUGAAAAGAGGUGAAAGCAAUUGGAGCGGAGCAAAAAUGGAAGAUUUAGCUGAAGCAAUUUCUAAUUUAGCACCGGCUGAAAAAGAAUCUCAAACAACAGUUCACCGAGGCUCCGGUCGCCGGCUCCACUGUCUUCAGGUCACCAGCUCACGAACAACAUCAGAGAAUUCUAAUAAGAGGGAACUUGAAAUAAAACAGGAGGAAGAUAGAUGUUUUAAGGCUGCCGGCAAUACACAAGGUCAGAAUUCUGCAGCAGCUGAUGAUGAUUAUAUAGACCCUACGCAAUAUUUUGAGAGCAACAAAGCCUACCUGGCUUCUCUGAAGGCUGAAGGAAAAAAUCCAUAUCCUCACAACUUCUAUGUUACCUUUUCAAUUGAACAUUACCCAGAAUAUUAUGAAAGGUUAAUUAUUGGAGAGCAUCUUGAGAAUCUCACUGUAUCUAUGGCUGGCCGAUUCAUGAAAAGCAGACAAUCCUCCGCAAACAUUUUUUUUUAUGAUUUGCACGACGAUGCUGUUAAGGUUCAAGUCACGAUCGAUACCAGCAAAUCAGGCAUGGACGGCGCUGAACUUCUUUCCAACUUGAAGCAUGGCGAUAUUGUUGGCGUCACCGGCAUCCUAGGAAAAACGGGAACAAGAAAGCUGAGUAUCUCUCCAACAUCUUUGGUGGUUUUAUCUCACUGUCUUCGCAUGCUUCCAAAGGACUUAAAAGAUCCGGAAACUCGCUAUUGUCAACGCUAUCUGGAUCUUAUUUUAAAUUCGGAGGUUCGAGAGAUUUUCAAGACCAGAUCAAGGAUCAUAACAUAUAUUAGAAGCUUUCUUGACAGUCUCGAUUUCUUAGAGGUUGAGACACCCGUGAUGAACAUGUUUGCCGGGGGAGCUGCUGCUCGCCCUUUUGUGACUCAUCACAAUGAACUAAACAUGAGGCUGUACUUGCGUAUGUCUCCGGAGCCUCGCCUUAUAGAGUUAGUUGUUGGUGGUAUUAACCUUGUAUACGAGAUUGGAAGACAAUUUAGGAAUGAGGGUAUCGAUUCGACUCACAAUCCUGAAUUUACAACCUGUGAGUUUUAUAUGGCCUUUUCGGAUUACGACGACGUAAUGGAACUAACUGAGAAAUUAUUGCGUGAAAUGGUGCAGGAGAUUACGGGUGGCUACAAGGUUAAAUAUCUCGCGAAUGGGCUUGACAAUAAUCCAAUUGAGAUUGACUUUACGCCACCUUUUAGAAAAAUUGACAUGAUAAAUGAGUUGGAGAAGAUGGCCAAUCUAAACAUACCAAAGGAUCUGGCCAGUGAUGAAGCUAGUAAGUAUCUUGCGGCCGCAUGUCAGAGGUUUGAGGUCAAGUGUCUUCCUCCACAGACAACUGCCCGCAUGUUGGAUAAACUGGUUGGGCACUUUCUUGUUGGAACCUGUGUUAAUCCUACUUUUAUCAUCAACCAUCCCGAGGUCAUGAGUCCUUUGGCAAAAAGGCAUAGAUCAAGACCAGGCUUGGCUGAAUGUUUUGAAUUGUUUGUAAACAAGCAGAAGCUUUGCAAUGGAUACACGGUGUUGAAUGACCCUAUGGAAGUACGGGAGCGAUUUGCUGAACAACUCAAGGGCCGGCAGUCAGGUGAAGAUGAAUCUAUGGCUUUUGAUGAAACAUUUUGCACUGCUCUCGAGUAUGGGUUACCUCCAACUGGUGGCUGUCAAUGGGGCAUUGACCCACUCGCUAUGAUACUAACCGAUUCACAGGAUAUCAAGGAGGUAAUACUGUUCCCAUUCAUGAAGCAUCAACAUGAACACGAACAUCCCGAUCCUACCAAAGCAGCUUCUCUUAUUGCUUCGUGCGAAAAACAGAUCCAGAGUUAGGGAGAUUUCGACGAAGACGACAUUAGUCACCGGUGCUACCAUCGCCGGCGCUCCAACUGCCGCCGCUCUUUAUAUUUCUCAUCGAUGGUUUUUUUAUGUUGAUGGGAUUCAAUUGGGGAGCCACAUCGGUGGAUGCACUCACUGUGUCUUCUUCUUCAACAAAUAAUCACAUGUUAUUGUCAUGGAUAUUCCCUCCUCGACUCUGUUUCUUGCCAUCAAUUGUCCAAUUCUUUGCUUCCAUCCCCCAUAGCUUCUCACUCUUUCAACUUUCUCUCUGAUUGCUUGGUUUUGUUCGGUGGUGGCUGUGAGGGAGUAAGGUGAAUGAUUCAAUCCAGUGUUAGUUAAAGAAGUGGGUAUGGCAGUAAUGACUGAUGAUUGCAAGGAUUUCUAUUAGGCUUCAAGAACAGUAAAAAGACUCAAUUGUUUAUCAUUUUUUUUGGUGGGAUUUUGCAGUUUGGCGGUUGUGACAUUCCCUUUGCACCACUCCAUGUAGAUAUGAAGGUCCCAUUUGUAUUGCUCUUGGUUUGCUUCUACUUUUGUGGUUGAUAGCAAUUUGGUUCAAUGUGGGCAUCAUAGUUUGUUUUCAAGUAAAAGGAAUAUAUUGUUGUAUGGAAAAUCAAAAUCAUUGUCCUCUCUUGGUCUGAAACUAAUCAUUAAACUACAGUCCUUUGCAGUUGCAGCUAUCAAAUAGUCCCUUGCAUUUUUCAAGCUUUCGUGCAUGGAAAUAGAAUGCAAGGAGGCAUACUUAUGUGGCAGUCCUGCUUCAGCCAAUUCUCUACACACCAUACAUAAAAUUCCAUAUAUAUUGAUGAAUAAAUUCCAUAUCUUAAGAAAAACGUAUGUACAUAUAAUUUACCCAAUGAUAAAAAAAAAUGGACACUGCAUGCAAUUGGGGACCAAAUGGCUCACUCAUGGAGUGCUAAAAUAUCUUAUAUACAUGCAUCAAAAUAUCUCUACACACCAUGCAAUGCUGAAAAUGAUGUUAUAGUAAGCGUGAAUUGCUCCUUCAAUAUCAAAACUAUCAAGCUUUUUUGGACUAUAUAAGAGAACCAUUCAUGAAGACACGAAAAUUGUUUUGAGGAUUAUUUAUUUUUUUGUUGCUAGUUAACUAAUGGUGUACUAAUGAUUCGCCAAUAAUUUUAUUUUUAGUGUAUUGUCGGUAGACGUUUGGUUAACUGUUGGUAAAUGUGUAAUAAUUUUUAUUUUGAAUAUAUAGUUAUAAGGUGUAGUAUUUUGUGUAAAAAAGUCUAUUGGCCUUUUUAUA